GAUCCUGGCUCAGGAUGAACGCUGGCGGCGUGCUUAACACAUGCAAGUCGAACGGAGCACUUCAUAAAGUUUACUUUAAGAAGUGACUUAGUGGCGGACGGGUGAGUAACGCGUGGGUAACCUGCCUUACACAGGGGGAUAACAGUUAGAAAUGGCUGCUAAUACCGCAUAAAACAGCAGAGUCGCAUGACUCAACUGUCAAAGAUUUAUCGGUGUAAGAUGGACCCGCGUCUGAUUAG
rnacentral:rRNA from 1 species